rnacentral:rRNA from 1 species
UCCGUAGGGGGCAAGCGUUGUCCGGAAUCAUUGGGCGUAAAGAGCGCGUAGGCGGCCCGGUAAGUCCGCUCUGAAAGUCCGGGGCUCAACCCCGGGAGGCGGGCGGAUACUGUCGGGCUAGAGUCCGGAAGAGGCGAGUGGAAUUCCUGGUGUAGCGGUGAAAUGCGCAGAUAUCAGGAGGAACACCAAUGGCGAAGGCAGCUCGCUGGGACGGUACUGACGCUGAGGCGCGAAAGCGUGGGGAGCAAGCAGG